AGAGGGUGCAAGCGUUAAUCGGAAUUACUGGGCGUAAAGCGCGCGUAGGUGGUUUGUUAAGUUGAAUGUGAAAUCCCCGGGCUCAACCUGGGAACUGCAUCCAAAACUGGCAAGCUAGAGUAUGGUAGAGGGUAGUGGAAUUUCCUGUGUAGCGGUGAAAUGCGUAGAUAUAGGAAGGAACACCAGUGGCGAAGGCGACUACCUGGACUGAUACUGACACUGAGGUGCGAAAGCGUGGGGAGCAAAC
rnacentral:rRNA from 1 species